rnacentral:rRNA from 3 species
CCUGGCGGCGAUAGCGCGGUGGUCCCACCUGACCCCAUGCCGAACUCAGAAGUGAAACGCCGUAGCGCCGAUGGUAGUGUGGGGCUUCCCCAUG